UGUGGGAUCCGAAUCCGAUCACCUCUUGUUUCAGUAAUUUGUACUAAUUCGAUCCACUUUCAAUUCCGCCCCCCGGCAGACGUCCAAUUACAGCAUCAUUUUAUCUCAGAAUUGCCCCUCUAGAUUUCUCAUAGUUUUCAAUCAUGUCCCUGAAUAUGAAAACCCUCACUCAGGCCUUCGCCAAGGCCUCAGCAGCGAUCGAGAAAACGGUCCAAACCACGGUCCAGGAAGUCACUGGCCUGCCCAAGCCCUUACAGGACUACGACUUGCUCUACCAGAUCGGGUCCGCCGGCCCGGGACUCGCCUGGAAGCUAUAUUCUGCUAAGUCCCGUGACGGCCACGCGGUGUAUCCCAACGUUUGUGUUUGGCUGCUUGACAAGAAGGCACUGUCGGAGGCGAGGCAGCGGGCCGGGCUUUCCAAGGCUGCGGAGGAUGCGUUUUUGGAGGUUCUCAGGGCUGGUGCUUCCCGGUUGGUCAGGCUGAGGCAUCCUGGGGUUGUGCAUGUGGUCCACGGGCUUGAUGAGAGUAAGAACGCAAUGGCUAUG
rnacentral:lncRNA from 1 species